AAUCAAUGAUUUUUAUUUAUUUUCAUGAUAUUGCUAAAAUCUUGCAGGAUAACAUAUUAUGGUAUUUGAGUUAUGUAAGAUUGCAGCCAGACUUAAUAAAUUGGUGAUUUUUAUAUAUUAUUGUCUAUCAAUCUAUCAAUCAAAGAUAGAAUAAAAUUUUUAUUUUUUUAAUAUAACGUGGGCACAUAAAUUUGAUACACCCUGUAUAUUGAUUUGUAAAUAUUUAUUAGAAGGUAGCUUUCACGUAGUAGAUUUCUCCUUAAUUAGUUUUUCCCUGAAAAAUAAAAUACAUUUGUAAAUAAAAGUGAAGUGAAAGUGAUUUAGGAAUAUAAGUUUAAAAAGAUUGUUUACGGAAAAGAUAAAACCACAGGUAGAUCUAAUUAGUAGUUUUUAGAAAAAUAGAGGUAAAUAGAAUUGGAAUUUUAAAUAUGUUUGUUUAAUGACAGGAAUAUUUAGAUAAUUUCCGAAAAGUCAUUAGUGUUUGAGUAGAAAUAUUGUUUGAAAGAAUGACUGGGUUUUUCGAUUGAAACAGAGGAAGGUGGAGAGAGAAAUGUUUCUGAUUGGCUUGCCAAUUUGGAAUGGGGAAAGUUUUGUUUGAAUGUUGAGACAUUUUGGAAAAUAAAAGAUCAUUGUGUUACCGGCAUCCGAAAGAAGCAGUCAAAAGUUUUCGUGAGUAGUUCAGAAGCAAGUACUAGUGUUUUGUUUUGAUAGUGAGAGUAGCUGAAAGUGGAACGAGAGACAAAUCAAAUCGAGAAGAAAUACCUCUUUGAUUCUGUAAAGUCCAAGAGAGUAAGUUACAAGAAUUAUCAUUGUUAAAAUAAUUUGUGACACCAAGUGAAAAAGAUACUUGGGUCUCAGGAGAUUAUUGUUGAGAGAAAGAGAGGAGAGAGUUUUGGAGUUUAUUGAACGAGUACUGGUCAAAAGGAGCCUGGCUUGUGUUUUGGGAGAAAUAGUGCUGGUUUGCUGCUGGAUUUUUGCUGAGAACGGAGAGGGUUUUGAUUGAUAGCCUAACAUAAUCAACAAGGAGGAGCUGUUUGGGUCAAGAGGAGACAUCAUUGUGUGUGAAUCAAAAAGGUCAGUCAAUAACCUAUGUGAUAGAUUUUUUUUUAUAAUCAGAAGUUAAAUUUUUUUACGUAAAAGCAUAUGCAUUUAAGAUUCCAACAUUUCAAAAAUUUAAUAGGAAGUAUAAGUAAUUUGCGAAUACCAAAUUUGUUUGUUUAGCUUGUUUUAUUAAUAGUAUCAAGAACAAAGCGAUAAAUAUUUGUUUGAAUUAGAUUAAUUUAAAUGGUAAAGGUUUCUUUUGGACAGUUAUUCCCACAGGAUUUAAUUAAUAAAUUUACAGAGCAUUGCUUUUUAUAAUAAAGGUAUUUGCAUGUGUUUA